rnacentral:lncRNA from 1 species
ACAAAGCCCAUCAGAUUCUCGGAUCUUCUACUGAGUGUUAUCCACCGAGCCAAAUGGCUUUCUGCUCUUCUGCUCCGUCCUUCUGCUGCAGCUUGAUCGGUGCCUAUCCCCGGACUGCCCCCUCCAAGUCUUCACCGCGACGAUGCAUCCUACUGCCAAUCCGGUGUACUGCGCGGACUCCUCCUCCUCGGCGAUCGGCUGAUUACCAACCGAGCUCGUGGAGUGACAAAUACAUACAAUCGCUAACAACUGACACCAAGGACGGCGUGCAUGCAAUAUGUAAGCUUGAGUUUUAUCUAUAGUUCGCAUUGGUUACUGACUAGCUUUCAUCAGGUGGAGGAGAAUAACGCAAGAAGGAUGGACAAACUGACAGAGGACGUGAAACAGCUGAUCUACACGAAGAAGGGAAUUGAGGAUCAGCUUCAACUGAUCGAUCACCUGCGGCAGCUUGGGGUGGCGUAUCACUUUAAGGAGGAUGCUAAGGAUGCUUUAUGGACUAUAUACGGUUCCAUGGAAGAGAUGAGCAUGUUGCUGAAGGAUAAUCUUCAUGCCACGGGUCUUAUGUUCAGGCUUCUCAGAGAACAUGGGUUUGCUGUUUCUGAAGGUGAUUAAGCUAUAUAUCCAUCCUGCUUUACUCCUUUCUUGGCAACUGAUCCAACAUUGUCGUCGAUGUACUUCUAUAAAUUGCUAGAACAAUUACUUUCAUGAAACUGAGACAAUUAGAAAUAUGUCCAAUUAGUCAUACAAUUAUGCCACGUUAAUAGCCUAACAUACAAUUGGAAUUUUGUGUUUAUUCUGUUCUAUCAUGGUGUCACAAUCUAACAUGCACAAAUUAUGUGGAUGGACUGAAGGGCAUUCAACCGAUUUAUGGAUAAGAAGGGAAACUUGAAAGCCAGCCUUCGCCACCAGACUGAAGGAUUGGUGAGCUUGUCCGAGGCUUCCCAUCUUGCAAUGGAAGGAGAGCACGUGCUGGAAGAAGCUACAAACUUCACAACUAAACAGCUCAAGAGCCUGAUGGUGGGAUCACUUGAGCCUCAUCUCAGGGAGCACGUAGCCCAUGCCUUGAAGCUUCCAUUGAACUGGAGGAUGCCGAGGUUACAGACCAGGUGGUUCAUACCAAAGGGAAGCGAACACAAACCCUGUCCUGCUUGAAUUGGCUAAGUUGGACUUCAACAGGGUUCAGAGCAUACAUCAGAGGGAACUCAGAGAAGUGUCGAGGUAUUUUGAGCUUGCUUUACUUGAAUCAUGUCAUGUACAUUCUGCCCUCGUGCAUGAAUUAGCAAACUUCAGCACAAACUUCUGGCUGUCGAUCAGAUCGUGGAGCAAUCUUGGCCUGGCGCAGAGGUUUCCAUUUUCGACGAACAGGUUGAUGGAGAACUAUUUCUGGACGGUUGGCUGGGCUUUUUAGCUACAGUUUGCGAGAUGCAGGGAGGCGCAGACAAAGGCAAACUGCCUGAUAACAACAAUAGAUGAUGUGUAUGAUGUUUACGGCACCAUGGAUGAGCUCGAGCUUUUCACGGAUGCCGUCGAUAGGUGAUGAAGAACUCCACCUCAUGAAUGCAAUAGAUGUAAUUUCAACGAUUGUUGAUUCCUGAUAACAUCUACUCGGAUGGAUGUUGCAGAUGGGACGUUAAUGCAACGGACAAACUUCCAGAGUACAUGAAGAUAUGUUUUCUAGCCCUCCUCAACACUACAAAUGACACCGCAUUCAAUGUUAUGAAAGAGAAGGGACUAGAUAUAAAUCCACACCUAAAAAAAGCAGUAACAUAUCGAUCCCAUCCUCCCUCUUUUGUGUAUCAUCAAUCAUUCAGUUCCACUUUCUAAACAGUGCAACCCUUGGAUUCAGUGGGCAGAUGUAUGCAAGGCACACAUGGUGGAAGCAAGGUGGUACCACCAGGGCUACACACCCAAUCUUGAAGAGUACUUGGAGAACGCACUAGUAUCGGUAUCGGGUCCCCUGAUAUUGACUCUUGCUUAUUGCACCAGUGACGAUGUAAGUCAAGAGACCUUGGAAGACUUCCACAGCCGUCCUGAGAUUGCAAGACGGUCAUCCAAGGUAUUUGAAAUGCACCAUAAUUAUCAUUCGUUCAGGGAAUCAUGGCGAUAAAGAGUUCACACAUUUUCUCCUCUUUGCAUCGGUUGUUUUUGUGCAGGACGAGCUUGAAAGAGCUGAUGUGCCCAAAUCUGUCCAGUGCUACAUGCAUGAGAGAGGUUUAUCGGAGUACGCGGCUCGUGACCAUAUUUGGCGAUUGAUUAGGGGGAAUUGGAGAGCAAUAAAUGGAGAUCUAAGUUUCACUUCUCAUUUUGAAGAAAACCUAAAAAUGAUGAUUAUUAAUGUCUCUUGAAUGGCCCAAUGCAUGUACCAAUUCGGAGAUGGACAUGGAAAACCCGAUCAAGUGAUUGAGGAUCGCAUCAGGUCUUUGUUGAUUGAACCUAUACUUUUGUGACGAUAGAAUUAAGAAUAAUAUCAUGAAGCUAUUAGUCUCCUCAUAAUUUAUCCAAGCUUUUGAUUAAAUUUCUUUAGGUGUGAUCGCUCUUUUUAUUCUGUAAAAGAUAUUGAUGGUGUAAUUCUAGUUUGUUGGUUGUGAUAAUUGAUCUGUAUCACCGCUUUGGAACUAAAAAAACUUUCUUUAUGAAACAUUAAAGACAAAAAAAACCUAAAGUAUGAUUUAUUUUAUGCUAUUAAUUGAGAUUGGAUUUUUAAUUUCUCUCAAACUUUAUUGUUGACGGCCAUCUGAAAGGCUGACUUAAUGGAUCAGCCGACUAUAAUCACAUGGCAUGAUCUAAUUAAGAAUAAAAUAAUAUAUUAUUGGGUAAAUUCUUUGAAAAAGCUUUGAAGUUACAGAAUUUCUCAUAGAACGGCUCUAACUGCGGCCCUCGAUAUUUUGAAAAAUUCCUGCCAUAACCUAGCCUCCCCUCCGCCUGUGCCAAGCCUGGCCACACCUCUGCCUCACCGGCGGCCCCACUCCGCCUUGUGCAUGGUCGCCCCAACUGCAACCCGAUCCUCAUCGUCGUCGUCAGUCAUUAGGGCGAGUUGCCCCUACUUCCUUGCCCGUGGCUAAUGCUGAUGAGGGGGCACGAGGAGAGCGCGUCGGUCAGGAAGGGGCACGAGGAGGGGGUGUGAGACCACAUCGGCGAGGAGGCUACAUGGCCCCUGUUGGACCCCUCACCCUCAAUGUUGUCGUUGGCCAUGGAGGUGCCGCACAGUGCCGCCUACUCCCAUGCUCGCGCGAAGGCGGCGAGACCCAUUGCUCGUUGCGAAGGUGACACGCAGCGUCACCUGCACCUCUGCUCACGCGAGGGCGACGAGGACCACUAAGUAGUUGGUCCUUCGGGGUGAGACGGGGGCCCACACUCCUCCGUCAGUGCAUCAGAAGCCUUAUGGACUUUGCCGUCGGUGUGUCAGCAUGCUACAUCAUGCUACUUCGUUCAAUAAACGCGUUGGUGGUCACUCCAUCACGCUCCUUCGUCCAAGCUCGGUGCCAUAUGACUACUGCAAUAUGUCCCACACAGGCUCUGCGUAUUAUUAUGGGUGGAAACGGUUGAAAAAAUUUAUUAUAACAAAAUAAUUUUUUUUUUCUAUAUAUUAAAUUAAGUUUCUCAUCAAAAUAUCAAUUUAUUAUCAAAAGUAAAUAUUAACUAGAGCAAGGUUUCUCAUUAAAAUAUCGAACUUGUUAUCAAAAAUAAAUAUUAACUAGAGCAGUAUAAAUAGUAGAACAAUAAAUCAGUCACAAAGUGAGACAUUAAAAUUUUUACAUGGAAAACCCACUGUGAAAAAAAUUAAGGGAUCGUAGUCCAAUACAAACUUUCAAUAUCGUCAAAAAUGAUAACAGGUUUACAAUAAGUCUUCUUCAGAAUAACCAGAGUAUCAAAAUAAUAUAGAUAUUAACUUAGAAUUAAUAUAUCAUCAUCACAAAAGAUAGAUUUUAUGAAAAGAAAAUUUUAGAUCUCAUGAAAUGGGUAUAGCAGGAAAGCACCUUAGAGAAUAUAAACUACAUAUCAGUACUAUUAAGAUUGUAAAACUUUUUGCAAGGAUUCUUCGUAUAAAAUUUGAGCCAAAACUAAUGAAGUUAAGCCACUUGAUCAUUUAACAAAAGCCCUAAAAAUCUUAACUUUUUCUCUUCUUUUCUCUCUCUAUUUUAUUUUCUCACGCCUUCACUGUUCGUCGACAAUUUUUCUUUUUUUUUUUAAUAAAUGAGAUUUGGAUUCAAUGCUCAAAUCAUCUGGUCCAAACCCAUAUAUGGGCUGGACCCAAUAAUUCUCUCCCUCCAGCUCAUAUGAUGGGCUGUACGAAGUUUGCUCUUUACCUAUAUGCUUCAAGCUUCUUCUUAGGUAAAGAUUUUAUCAAUAUAUUUGAUCCAUUCUCAUUGGUACGUACCUUUUUUAAGUAUAAUUCUUUUAUUUCAAGUAUAUCACGAAUCCAGUGAUAUCUAACAUCAAUAUGCUUGGAUCUAAAAUGAUAGGUUGAAUUCUUGGAGAUAUGAAUGACACUCUGACUAUCACAGUAAAUAGUAUAUCCUUUUUGUUUCAAGCCCAAUUUCUAUAGAAAUGUUUUCAUCCAUAAAGCUUCUUUGCAAGCUUCAAUAAUUGCUAUACAUUCUGCUUCUGUGGUUGAUAGAGCAAUACAAUUCUGUAACUUAGAUUGUCAAGAGAUUGCUCCUUAUGCAAAUGUCAUCAAGAAUCUCAAAGUGGACUUCUUGGAAUUAGUAUGACUUGCCAUAUCUGUAUCUAUGUACCCCUCUAGUAUAGGUUCAUCACUGCCAAAAUAUAAAUAUAACUUGAAAGUGCCUCUUAGAUAUCUUAAUAUCUAUUUCACUACUGCCCAAUGUUCCUUACCAGGAUUAGAAAGAAAUCGACUAAUAACUCCAACUGCAUGAGCUAUAUCUAGUCUAGUAUAAACCAUAGCAUAUAUCAAAUUGCCUAUUGCAAACGAGUAAGACACUAUGAAUAUUUUUUUUUUUUUCUCACUUGUAGGAUAUUAUUUCGAACUAAGUUUGAAAUAACAUGCAAGUGGAGAACAAAUUGCUUUGGCUUUACUUAUGUUGAAUAUUUCAAGAACCCUUUCAUACUAAGUAUUUUUUUCACCGAUCCUAAGUCUUUCAUGGUAAAAGAUUUACUUAGCACUCUUUUAAGCUUUUUAAUUUUACUAGCAUCAUAGCCAACAAUCAGCAUAUCAUCAACAUAUAGUUGGAAAAUAAUAAAAUCAUCAUCUAAAAAUUUCUUUGUAAACACAAAAUGAUCAGAUGUGGUUCUAUUGUACCCUUAGCUCAUCAUAAAGGAAUUAAACUUCUUGUUCUAAUAUCUAGGUGAUUGUUUGAGUCCAUAUAAGUUUUUUCCUAAGUUUGCACACCAUAUUUUUUUUUCCCUUAACUUUGAAACAUUCUGGUUAUUCCAUGUAAAUUUUUUCUUUUAAGUCACCAUAAAGAAAUGUUAUUUUCACAUCAAGUUGCUCAACUUCUAAAUUUAAGCGAGCAACCAAACCAAGAAGAACUCGGAUAUAUGACAUUUUCACAAUAGGAGAAAUAUUUUUUCAAAGUCAAUACCUUUCUUCUGACUAAAGACUUUCAUAACUAGUUGUGCCUUGUAUCUUUAUCGUGAGCUAUUAUUUUCAGCCUUCAAUUUGUAAACUCAUUUAUUCUUGAGAGCUUUCUUCUCUUGAGGUAACUUUACCAAGUCAUAGAUGUGGUUCUUAAGCAAGAAUCUCAUUUCUUCUUACAUGGCUUUAACCCACUUAUUUUUAUGCUCAUGUAGAAUAGCUUCUUAGUAAGUUUUUGGCUCUCUUCAUCAGUAAACAUAAAAUACUCAUGGAUAUUUGGUAUAUGAUUAUCGCUCUCUUAUGGAUCUUCUUAAUGGAAUCUCAGCUGGUGGUGAAGGUGCUUGUUCAGUUAGUUUAACAUCAUCAAAUAUAGGAGCAUCAUUACUUACAUUCUUACUACAAUCUUCUUCUUCAUCUCCCCCAUGAUCAGCAUGAACUACAGAUGAAGGAACUAGACCAAACUCCAAGGAAUAUAAAUAGAGGUUUUUGGCUUCUCACCAUUAUCACCGUCGUCAAACAAUUGAUAUUCAAGAAACAUAAUAUCUUUGCUUCUAAUAAUCUUCUUAUUCACUAGAUCCCAUAAUCUAUAUACAAACUCUUCAUGACCAUACCUUAAAAUGAUACAUAUUUUUGCCUUAUUAUCAAGCUUAAACCUCUUAUCUUUGGGAAUAUGAACAAAUGCUUUACACCCAAAGACUUUCAAGUGAUUAUAAGAUAUUUUUUUUUUCCUUUCCAUACUCUCUUUGGAACAUCAUAUUCCGGAGGAAUUGAUGGAGAAAAAAUUAUCAAGUCAAUUGUAGUUCUCAUAGCCUCCCCUCAAAAUGACUUAGGUAACUUGGCAUGAGAAAGCAAAUGCAUAAUUCUUUUUUUAAUAGUUUUGUUAAUCAUUUAUACCACACCGUUCUGUUGAGGAGUUUUAGGAAUUGUUUUCACAAGCCUGAUACCAUGGAACCUGCAAUAAUUCUCAAAAGGACCCCUAUACUCGCCACCAUUAUCUGCUCGAAUAUACUUUAGCUUUCUGUCAGUUUCUCUUUCAACACUGACAUGAAACUCUUUGAAAACAUCGAGUACCUGAUCUUUAGAUUUCAAAGCAAAAGCCCAAACUUUUCUAGAAUGGUCAUCAAUGAAAGUAACAAAAUAAAGAGCACAUCCAAGAGUUCUAGUUUACAUAGUAUAAAUAUCAGUAUGAAUCAAAUUAAUAACAUAUGAUCUUCUAGAUGAUGGAUAUGUAUGAAAGGUAACUCUAUGUGUUUUUCCAACUAAGCAAUGAUUAUAAGAUUUAAGAGAUGUAUCUUGUAACUCUGAUAAGAACUGCUUUUUAACAAGAGUUUAAAGUCCUUUCUCAUUGAUAUAACUAACCCUCAUGUGUCAAAGAUCUAUACUUUUACCCUUCUGAAUUGUAUUAAUCUCUCCUUUAUGUAACUUAGCUUCUAUGACAUAAAAAGAGUUUAGUUUUUUUUCCUCUCACCACAAUUAGAGAACCUUUAGUGAGUUUCCAUUUGAUUUCACCAAAAUAGUGUAUAAAUCCCUCAUCAUCAAGUCUGCCUAUAUAUAUCAAGUUAAAACGAAUAUCUGAAACAUGUUUGACAUCUUUGAGUAUCAAUUUGCUCCAAAUACUAGUCUCCAAGUAAAUAUCUCCAAUAUCCAUAAUCUUAAAUGUACCAUUGUUUCUUAUUCUGACAUUACCAAAAUCACAAGCAGUGUAAGAUAUAUAGAAAUCACCAUAAGAAGUAACAUAAAAUGAAGCACUAGAGUCAAUUACCUAGUUAUUGUCCUGUAACUGUUCUCGCUUUCAAAAUUACUUUUCUUUAUGUGACCUAGCCUAUUACAAUGGAAACAUUUGAUAUCUCUUCUAGAUUUGGAUCUUCCUUUAUAACCAUAUGAAUUUCUACUAUAACUUCCACAUCUUUCUUGUUUUUCAGUAACAAAUGCACUAGAAGAAUAUUCUCCCCGUUCUUUCCUUCUAACAUCUUCACUUAACAAACUGUCUUUAACUAUAUCUAUAGUUAGAGUCCCCUCUUGCGUGGAGUUACAAAUUGUCAAUACAUGCAUUUUCCAACUUUCUAGUAAAUAUAUGAGAAGUAAUAAACUUGUUUGUUAAACUUUGAAGUAGACUUGUAAUCAACAAUGUUACCACAAUCUUUAUAAUUCAAAUUUACAAGCAUUGUGAGGAGAGAAAUUCGUCCACUCUUUUUUUUGUAAAUUGGUUUUCUAACCUUUGCCAAAUAAUAUCAGCUCUGGUUUCAUCAAAAAUAUGCUCAUGCAAAUUUAUAUCAAUCCAUCUUCUAAUAUAGGCAAUAGCUUUUCUAUGUUGAACUUUUCAUUCCUCAUCUUCCAUAGUAGAAUGUUUAUAUUUAACAUCGAUAGACUUAUACAAAUCUUUGCAAUAGAGCAAAUCAUCUAUCAUACGCCUCCAAGUGGAAUAAUUUGAAGAGUUCAAUUUAAUCAUACCGUUUGACUCUUCCAUUUCAAUCACACAAUAUAAAAAAUUAGCAUCAAACAACUUAUUACUCUGAUACCACUUGUUGGGAAAAAUUAAUAUAGCGGAAUAAUUUUUUUUCUCUCUUUAUAUAUUAAAAUAGGUUUUUUUUAAUCAAAAUACUAACUUAUUAUCAAAAGCAAAUAUUAACUAGAGUAGCAUAAAUAGUAGAACGAUAAAUGAGUUACAAAGUAAGACAUUAAAAUUUUUAUAAGGAAAACUCAAUGCAAAAAAAAUCACGGGGACCGUAGUCCACUUCAAAUUUCCACUAUCAUAAAAAAAAGAUAACAUGUUUACAGUAAGUCUUUUCUAGAAUAACCAACCAGAGGAUCACAAUAACAUUAAGAUUUAUAUAAAUCUUAGCUCAACAUUACCAUAUCAUCAUCAUCGAUAGAUUUCAUUAAAAAAAAAAAGAUCUUGGUAUAAUAGGAAAGCACUUAGAGAGGAUAAACUAUGGAUCGGUACCAUUAAAAUUAUAGAGUUUUUUAUAAAGAUUCUUCACAUAAAAUUUGAAUCAAAACCAACAAAGUUUAGCUGCUUGAUCAUCUAGUAAAAGUCCUAAAAAUCUGAACUUUUUUUUCUUUUUGUUUUUUUCUCACGUCGCGACUGUUCGUGUACGCACCUAUUCGCUGCCCUAACUGUACACGUCUCCACUGUACACGUCUCCCACGUAUGGGUUGGACCCAACAGAAACAAAUCUGCAAAGACGCUGCUAAACGCGCUCAGAGUGGACGAACUACUGGAUCACGUAUCAUUAAGAUUAUGUGAUGACUGCAAAAUCUAGUCAUCUAUAGCACAAGAUCAUGAUGAGGAGGCGUAACUCUCUCUCUCUUUCUCUCUCUCCAACUAUUUCUUAUAUCUCCGUGCGUGUAGUUGUAGCAUCAUGACAUCUUUUUCGUGGAAAGAUAAGAACGAGGGCAAGGUGUCGCCCUGACCCAUCACCAACCUGUAAGUGUGCUAUCGACGCAUGACCUACCUACACAUUUAUUUAGAGAACCAGAUGACGCUGACGGUACUGCUAGCCAGGAAGCCCCCAUCAGCUCACUUAAUUCAUAGUGUUUUUGAGGUAGAAGACAAGUUGGCCAACAGUUGGAUCCGAAUUGCGUUUGAUGCAACAACCAUGUUGCAGUGGACCAUGAUGCUUGAUGGUGGAGGUUGGUCUGAACUCGACGUUGUAACCCAGUCUCAGUCUUUGCUGCCAAUGGGAUAUAUGUAUUAUGUUCACAUGACAUGACACUGAUUAUACCUUCGGGUUUAAUGCUCCUUAUCACGGGAUUAGGUUUAAUGUCACCCGGCAUCACUCACGUAGAGAUCAAUGGACCACGCCCCUUGAUUCUUAGGACAAAGGUCCAUCGAGUGAACCUCCUGGUUUAGGUCAGCAAAGAGUUCACACAGUUUCUCCUCUCUGCAUCAGUUGUUUUUGUACAGGACGAGCUUGAAAGAGGCGAUGUGCCCAAAUCUAUCCAGGGCUGCAUGCAUGAGAGCAGUUUAUCGGAGUAUUCGGCUCGUGAGCAUAUCGUGUAAACGGAGAUCGAAGUUUCACUUCUCGUUUUGAAGUGAAACGGAGAUCGAAGUUUCACUUCUCGUUUUGAGGAAAACCUGAAAAAUGAUGUUCAUCAAUAUACCUCGAAUGGCCCAAUGCAUGUACCAAUACAGAGAUGGAUAUGGGAAACCCGAUCGAGUGAUUGAGGAUCGCAUCAGGUCUUUGUUGAUUGAACCUACACUUCUGUAACAAUGUAAUUAAGGAUAAUAUCGUGAGUCUUUGAUUAAGUUUCGUGUGAUCACCCUUUUUAUUCUGUAAAAGGUAUUGAUGGUGUAAUUCUAGUUUGUUGGUUGUGAUAAUUGAUCUGUAUCAUCGCUUUAAAAGUAGAAAAACUUUCUUUAUGAAAUAUUAAAGGAAAAAAAGCCCAUAGUAUAUUUUAUUUUAUGCUACUCAUUGAGAUUGAAUUUUUAAUUUUUCUCAAUUUUAUUGUUGACGGGCAUCUUAAAAAAGCUGAUUUAAUGGAUCAACCGUGUACAAUCACAUGGCAUAGCCUAAUUAAAAGUAUGUAAGUUUCAUAAUUUGGUAUGUAAGUUUCAUAAUUUGGUGAAUUCUCGUCAUUUUAAAAAUUUCUGUCAUAGCCCUAGCCCUUGACUCUCAUUGUCAUUGGUGGAGGUGACAAGUGUCACUCUAUCGUUGGUCCAACGAGAUGUGGCAGCCACUACACCUCCGUCGUUGGGUGGGUCCAACAGAGGGGGAUGACGAUGCAAUUAGAGGCUGGACAGAGGACGAUGAUUGAUUUAGAUAGCAUAGUCAUUUAAAAAAAAGGGUACUCUAGGGGAAAAUUUUAAACUUGGGGUGUUAUUUUGAAAAUUCUAAAACUUAUGAUUUUUUUUCAAAAAUUCACCCUAUAUUAUUUUAAAAACUAUGGCUAUCUAACAUAUGCUAAUUUAGAAACAAUAAAUAAACACAGAAUAUAAACAUUUAUGGUUUUGUUGAGCAUAAACUUAUGUAUUUUAAUGACAUAUUUAAAAUAUGAUUGUUUGAUCUCUGCAUAUAACAAUAAUCAUAACAUAUGUUACAUUCUUAAAUAAUUAUAAAGUAGUAUCCCCUGCGGCUAAUCUAUCUCUAUAAAAUAAUUAUCUAGAUCACCCCUCUCAUGAUUUACUCGAUAUCUCCCUCAAGAAGUAGAAAGACCGAGAGAAUCAAUCGCUCAAUCAAUCAAACUCUCGCUCAAUCAGCCAAACUCUCUCCUAAUAUGCAAGUCUAGCUCUUUGAGAUAGACUAGAGGCUAGAGGAUAUAAAAAAGGAGAUAAGGCAGGAAAAGGAAGUUGAUUCUUACUUUAGAUCUCCCUUCAUUAGCAUUAUAGAGGAACCAAUCUCAAUAUGUUUUAGAAUGCCAACCCUUAACUUUACAAGGGAAUCUCUGAUCCUAUGGAGCCUAUAGAUGCUUUUACCUCUCACACCAAGUUGUGCUUCGAAUACAUUAGCUUGAUUCCAAUUGUGGGUUAGAGCCCAGGCCACCUGGUGAAUCUUCGAAGGUAACUCGUCCCUUCUUUGACUUCAAGUGACUAUCUUGAUCCAUUGGAUCGAUAGGGACCUAUUAGCCAUCUACUUCUUAGUAUUGGGGGGUUUCGAAAGCCUUCACAAAGAAGAAGACAUUUGUUAGAAGAUCUAUUUAUGCAUAGGAGACAUAUUAGUACACACUCAACAAGAGAAGCGAGAGGGACAAUUUCAGAUAUUGACCCCGAUGGGAGGGGCUGAUUCUAGCCUUUAUAAGCUAGGCCUCACUCAACCCCUUCACCGAAGGAGGAAGUUUUGGAAAUCAAUGCCGAAGGUGAUGAUGAGAUCGAAGAAUCAUAUGAGCUAUAGUUAGAUGAAGGGCUAAUCCAUAUGAGGAAAACAUUCAAAGUUGUUUAGGCUUGAAAGUUCGAAUGAUUCAAGUACUUUAAAAUACUAAAGGUUUGAGUGUUCGAAGGCCUAAAGGUUCCGAGAAUGACAGAAGGCAUAAAGAGUACGAAUGAGUUUGGGGGUUAUUUAUAGUACUUGGGUGACCUUUUGCCUAAUUGUCUUGUUGUCGGAUGCUUAGGCUAACAUGUUAUGUGGCGACACACCAAUGGCUAAGGCCAACCUCCUUAAUCAUUACAAUCUUUCUAAUCUUCCACCAAUAUGUGAAAGCCUUUGCGAGCACCAUAUCACCCCUAUAUUAGAUGUAAUAGUAUAGAAUCAUCCACAAUACUAAUAUUUAAAUAAUUUAUUUUGUUAUAUCCAAUUGUAGAAGCAACAUCAUCUUAGUCAUUUUCACGAGUGAUUAAAGCCUUGUUAAUAUGUUAUUUCAAUAUUAUAUCUUUUUUCAAGUAGCUGAACUAAGUUUAAAAUAUUAUUUUUUAUAUCAAGAACAUAAUAAACAUCUAAAUGCAUACUUACUUUUCAUUACUAAGCUCAAGAAAAAUAUACCUUUGUCUCUUACCAAUUUUUGUGAUCAAUUAUCAAAUAUACCAUGUUGUCCAUUUGACAUGAGAUUAAAUCGAGAUAAAAUGCUAGUAACUCAAGUUUCGUUCACAUCCAAGCUUACCUUCCCAUAAGUUUCAUAGCGCAUAAGCGCACACUAUUAUCAUAAUUAUUAAUUUGAAAAAAUAAAGUACAAUAGCAUAGGCUUCACAUACUGGUGAUCAUACAAGUGGCCUCUCUUUAUCAUUUUAUGAAUGCCAGAUUAAUAAUAGAUUGUAGUACAAUAGUGUAAGCUUCACAUGUUGGUGAUCAUACAGGUGGACUUUAUUUAUAUUUUAUCCUUCAAUAUUGUCAGAUGUGAUCCUUCACCUAAUAAUUAUUGUAACAUUUUCUGAUGUCAUGUAUAGUGUGAUAUUGGUUAUAGGAUGGAGAGAUCCACUCAUCUGUGUCACUAGUUUUUCAGUUUUUUCUAGAUGGACUUGAAUAGUUAACUUACAGCACACACCGAUAAGUUACUUGAGUAGUUAACGUACAGCAAAUCGGAACGCUAAAGGAUCGAGGCCAUGGGAUUGUCCUAAUGGUGUCGAAUUUAAUCAAAUCAACUCCUUGAAUUAACUACUUUUUAAAGUGGCUUCUUCCACUAUGAUGCCAGAGAUAUUUUUGGACACUUGGAAUUACAUUUGGUUGGAACACGAUUUUGUGGAGCUUUUGUGGAUAUACAUGAGGCUGGCUGUACCUACGUGGCCGAUUAGCAUUCUGCUUGUGAAUCUCGUUUUAGGGAGGUCGAGAGGCACGAGAGCCUCGUUACUGAACCCAUCCUGCUUUCACCGCCUCUGGCACUAUAAAUCCCACGCCAACACCGCCACUACAAAGCCCAUCAGAUUCGCCGAUCUUCUACUGAGUGUUGUUCACCGAGCCAAAUGGCUUUCUGCGCUUCUGCUCCUUCUUUCUGCUGUAGAUUGAUCGGUGCCCAUCGGCGGACUGCCCCCUCCAAGCCUUCACCCCGUCGAUGCCUCCUACUACCAACCCGGUGUACUGCACAGAUUCCUUCUCCUCGGCGAUCGGCUAAUUACCAGCCAAGCUCGUGGAGUGACGAAUAUAUACAAUCGCUCAGAACUGACACCAAGGUCGGCGUGCAUGCAAUAUGUAAGCUCGAGUUUUAUCUAUAGUUCGCAUUGGUUACUAACUAGCUUUCAUCAGGUGGAGGAGGAUAACCCAACAAGGAUGGACAAACUGACAGAGGACGUGAAACAGUUGAUUUACAUGAAGAAGGGAAUUGAGGACCAACUUCAACUGAUCGAUCACCUGCGGCAGCUUGGGGUGGCGUAUCACUUUAAGGAGGAUAUUAAGGAUGCUUUAUGGACUAUAUACGGUUCCAUGGA